rnacentral:lncRNA from 1 species
AAGAGGAGUUAAUUUCUAUUUUAAUAAGGCUUGCUUUACUCUGGGUUCGAUUCGACACCGUAUCUCCAAUUCCAAAUGGCCUUGAUCAUCGACAAGCCUGUAUUAUUCUUGUGUGUCUGGCCCGCGAGGGAACAUCUCUAAUCUCAAACUGGUAUCGUAUCAUCUUUCCUCUUAGUUGGAAUCGUAUGCAGUUGUACAUUUGUGAUCACGGUCGCGUGAUCUCUCUAAAAAUUAAACGAAACCUCUCAACCGAUUAUUGUUUCGAGCAAAAAUCUUAAAACGAAUUCAUCAGGGCUGUCACGUGAACCUCCAGAAAGGAGCAUACUAAAGUUUGAUAACUCAUAAGCAUGCAGUAAGCAAUUUUCUAUCGGCUCAUUAAUCCAGUCACGAAGCGAGCAAAAGUAAGAUUGCUGAUUGCUAGAAUCUAACGGCAUACCUUAAUAUAUUUAUAUAUUUUCUGUCUCAAACAGUGAACAAAAGUAUACUAUGUCCAAAAUCUUAUGCUGACAGGAGAAAAAGAUCUGCUCUCUCCACUUUCUUACACAUUGAUAGAA